GUUGGAAUAGCUCAGUUGGUUAGAGCGUGUGGCUGUUAACCACAAGAUCAGAGGUUCAAGCCCUCCUUCUAGCG
rfam:Ipomoea nil DNA, scaffold: scaffold3087, cultivar: Tokyo-kokei standard.